AUACGUAGGGGGCGAGCGUUGUCCGGAAUGAUUGGGCGUAAAGGGCGCGUAGGCGGCCCGGUAAGUCUGGAGUGAAAGUCCUGUUUUCAAGAUGGGAAUUGCUUUGGAUACUGAUGGGCUUGAGUGCAGGAGAGGUUAUCGGAAUUCCCGGUGUAGCGGUGAAAUGCGUAGAGAUUGGGAGGAACACCAGUGGCGAAGGCGACUUACUGGACUGUAACUGACGCUGAGGCGCGAAAGUGUGGUGAGCAAACAGGAUUAGAUACCCUGGUAGUCCACACUGUAAACGAUGAAUGCUAGGUGUAGGGGGUAUCGACCCCUUCUGUGCCGCAGUCAACACAAUAAGCAUUCCGCCUGGGGAGUACGGCCGCAAGGUUGAAACUCAAAGGAAUUGACGGGG
rnacentral:rRNA from 1 species